UAGGGAAUCUUCCGCAAUGGGCGAAAGCCUGACGGAGCAACGCCGCGUGAGUGAUGAAGGUCUUCGGAUCGUAAAACUCUGUUAUUAGGGAAGAACAAAUGUGUAAGUAACUAUGCACGUCUUGACGGUACCUAAUCAGAAAGCCACGGCUAACUACGUGCCAGCAGCCGCGGUAAUACGUAGGUGGCAAGCGUUAUCCGGAAUUAUUGGGCGUAAAGCGCGCGUAGGCGGUUUAUUAAGUCUGAUGUGAAAGCCCACGGCUCAACCGUGGAGGGUCAUUGGAAACUGGAAAACUUGAGUGCAGAAGAGGAAAGUGGAAUUCCAUGUGUAGCGGUGAAAUGCGCAGAGAUAUGGAGGAACACCAGUGGCGAAGGCGACUUUCUGGUCUGUAACUGACGCUGAUGUGCGAAAGCGUGGGGAUCAAACAGG
rnacentral:rRNA from 1 species